UACGUAGGGUGCGAGCGUUAAUCGGAAUUACUGGGCGUAAAGCGUGCGCAGGCGGUUUUGUAAGCCAGAUGUGAAAUCCCCGGGCUUAACCUGGGAAUGGCAUUUGGGACUGCAAGGCUCGAGUGCGGCAGAGGAGACUGGAAUUCCUGGUGUAGCAGUGAAAUGCGUAGAUAUCAGGAGGAACACCGGUGGCGAAGGCGGCGACCUGGGUAGAUACUGACGCUGAGGCGCGAAAGCGUGGGGAGCAAACAGG
rnacentral:rRNA from 1 species